GAUGAACGCUGGCGGCGUGCCUAAUACAUGCAAGUCGAGCGAACAGACGAGGAGCUUGCUCUUCUGACGUUAGCGGCGGACGGGUGAGUAACACGUGGAUAACCUACCUAUAAGGCUGGGAUAACUUCGGGAAACCGGAGCUAAUACCGGAUAAUAUAUUGAACCGCAUGGUUCAAUAGUGAAAGACGGUUUUGCUGUCACUUAUAGAUGGAUCCGCGCCGCAUUAGCUAGUUGGUAAGGUAACGGCUUACCAAGGCAACGAUGCGUAGCCGACCUGAGAGGGUGAUCGGCCACACUGGAACUGAGACACGGUCCAGACUCCUACGGGAGGCAGCAGUAGGGAAUCUUCCGCAAUGGGCGAAAGCCUGACGGAGCAACGCCGCGUGAGUGAUGAAGGUCUUCGGAUCGUAAAACUCUGUUAUUAGGGAAGAACAAAUGUGUAAGUAACUAUGCACGUCUUGACGGUACCUAAUCAGAAAGCCACGGCUAACUACGUG
rnacentral:rRNA from 1 species